rnacentral:rRNA from 1 species
GAUGAACGCUGACAGAAUGCUUAACACAUGCAAGUCGAUUCGAUUUACCUUCGGGUAUUGAGGAUGGCGGACGGGUGAGUAACGCGUAAGGAACUUGCCUCUUGGACUGGGACAACUGUUGGAAACGACAGCUAAUACCGGAUAUUAUGAGAUUCUUGCAUGAGAAACUUAUGAAAGCUAUAUGCGCCAAGAGAGAGCCUUGCGUUCCAUUAGCUAGUUGGUGGGGUAAUGGCCCACCAAGGCGACGAUGGAUAGCCGGCCUGAGAGGGUGAACGGCCACAAGGGGACUGAGACACGGCCCUUACUCCUACGGGAGGCAGCAGUGGGGGAAUAUUGGACAAUGGGCCACAAGCCUGAUCCAGCAAUUCUGUGUGCACGAUGAAGGUCUUCGGAUUGUAAAGUGCUUUCAGUUGGGAAGAAGAAAGUGACGGUACCAACAGAAGAAGCGACGGCUAAAUACGUGCCAGCAGCCGCCGUAAAAC